AUCUAGGGCCAUGCCACCUGACACUGCCCGAUCUCAUCUGAUCUCGGACGCUAAACACGGCCGGGCAUGGAUGGGAGACCACCUAGGAAGACCAAGUGCUGUAGGUA
rnacentral:rRNA from 1 species